rnacentral:misc_RNA from 1 species
CAGCGCGACUUUUAAACAUGCCGCCACAGGACAAUCUCCCCUCUCUGCCGCACCCCACCUCCGCAACAGCAAAACCCUUGUGCACGUCCGUGGUGAUGUAGCUCGUUCUUAUUCUUCCCCAUUUUCCGCCACCGCCCAUCAUCUUCCGGCCCAGCGUGCAUGUGUGCGCGGUGUUAGCCUCCGCUGCUCUUCCUUUCCGUCUCCCAUCUCUGUCUCUGCUCACGACACCACGUAAGAUAUUGUUCACUUCUCGCCCUCCAGUGGUUAUCUUUCCUUGUAGUCCGUCCCGAAUGCUUUCCUCGGCACCCGACGACUUGGUUCAGCUCGAGCAGCGAGGCGGUCGCCUCCGUCGAUUACGCGACGGUGCCGCGGAGGCGUCACCAAGGAGCUGAGGCGAAGUCGCGGUAUGACGCGCACUUUCAGAGGUGCCUCGAGGCCAUCGCCGCAGCCCACAAGAGCACUAGCGCCGUACUCCCUCGCCACCUCGCAGAGGUGAAGGCGGGCACCCGCAUCGACGUCCGGACAAGUGUGCCACGCUUCACACCCCUCGUCUGCAUGGUUUCUGGUGCGCCGCAAUGCAAGGGGCUCGCCAAGCUGCUCACGGCACGGAUCGAGGACGCAGGGAGUCGCAGGCACCUUGCGAAGAAUUCUUUUGUUGGCGCGCGGAAGCAUCAGAAUGAGCAUUACACAACCUGAUCGCGAUCACGAGCCGUCAUGAGAGACAGAGGAAGCGAACGGAGUCAAAGUCGAAGUUUGUUAAAAAGGUGCGCAGCACCUGCAGUGGCGCGGGCCGUAUCCUGGGGCAUGGCUUUGGUUGGACUCGUCCGCACCUGCAAUGGUCGAGGUCGCGCGAUCAUUCAGCUCGUCCGCGAUGAGACGGCAUCGAGCUUACCGGCCGUAACCUUCAGCGUGGUGCGCGCAAACGGGCAGGCGAUCACCUGAGUGAUGCACAAGUGUGCGCCCGGCACGGGAGCUCCAGAACAACCUGCGAAUCUGUCUGACCCGUAAGGCUGGCGGUGCGACCACAACGGUAACGACCACGUGAAAGACGCGAGUAAGGAUAUCCCAGCCGCGUUCCCACCGCUUGCAACGCCGGAUGCAGCGCGGCGGCAGGAGAGCGCCGGUUUUGCCCGCGAUUUUAUUUUGCGCGGCGCCACUGCGAAGGACGAAAAAAGCAAAUGAAAGAGCCCGGCGCUGGUAAGGAUGCAGCUAUCCUAGUCGGCCUCCGUCAGAGUGAAGCCGGGGUGGCCGCGCAGGUGUGCGUGCCUGUGCCUGUGUCGGCGGCAGAAGUACGGAGAAACCGCUUAUUCCCAUUGGUGACGGCACUUUUCUCCUUCCGCUGUGUGCACUAUCCUGUUUUUGUCCGCUUCGCACCGCCUUUCAUGAACUCUGUUGCUAUCUGUGGAUGGGCACCGCUUCUUAUUCCUUUCGUGUGGAGCAGUUCUGCUUUUUCAAAACUCUCCUCUCGUUCUCCGAGUGCGGUGCUGUGCAGCUCCAGUGUCAUGUUGCUCUAGAUACACAUUUAGCGCUUUCCUAUCCGACUGAGCUCAUGUGCUUCCUCUGUAAGCGAAUGGCCGCCCAUGCAUCACUGUCGGUCUGACCGUGAUGUUGCCUGCGGUGCUCCUCGCGAGUCGCAAGGCCACACCUCACUCUGGUGGGGCGCCGCAACCGUCAAAGAAGGUUAGAAUCAAGAGAGCUCAAAGGCCACCGCACUUUUUCUUUCUACCGUCCGCUGUAGCGUCUCUCGCCUUUGGGCUUGAGUGCGUCGUGUGUUGCGUGUCCUCUCUUUUGCGUGGCGUAAGCGGGGGUUUGCGCUGCCCACUCUGCUGGGUGCCACUACCGUGCGCGUUCUCUUCUCAUCAGCGCCUCACUCUCUUUCGCUGUGUCUCUUGUCCACAUGUCAGCUACCCUCCUCCUGCUCGCUCCGGCAGUCUUUACCGUGUGCCUCCCACCCUCCAUUUUUGUGGAUGUGCGCCUUUCGCCUCUCACGCCACGACCUCGGUGCACACCUUCCCUCCCGCCAAUGCACACUCGCUCCGCAUCUUCCUGUUUUCCUGCUUUGGUUGUGCACGCCAAUGAGCGCGCCUGCGCUUCUGUGUGUGGUCAAAGUCCC